GCCGAAGUGGUGAAAUUGGUAGACGCGCUGGAUUCAGGGUCCAGUGAGAUUUAUAUCUCGUGCGGGUUCGAAUCCCGCCUUCGGCA
rnacentral:tRNA from 4 species